GUGCCGGAAGCUGCCUAAGGCACACUCCAUUGCUGCACCAGCCCCAAGUGUGGAAGAGCUGCAGCCAGGCAGAAUAGAUGGGACAUGCUGAUUUUUGACAGCUGUGGUAAAACAGAGCUCCCUGAGAUGCAGAUGAGGAUCUUGUCAUAAACAGCUGUGUGCCAGGAGUGGUCUUGCAUCCCCAAUUGCAGAGAUCUGGGGACAAGCUGAUCGAUGUUGCCUUAAGGGGGUCAGUUUCUGCCAACCUGCAUGGAAGGAGCAGGGAGUUCUGCCAGCACUGGCAGCUCAGCAUGUGUUGGGUGAUUUCCUAAGAGAAGAUACAAGCCUCUGCGCAAUCUCCUCCAUGUGAGCAAGACGUACAUAGCCACAGCUCUGUGAAGGUAAGCUCUUUUCCUCUGGCUAGAGCCAAAGUGAUGUCCUCUGACUACAGCAUUUGUGCAGUAUGAGUUCAGACUUGAUGGAUAUUGGGGAAAACAAGAGGCUGACCCCAGUGUUGGUGGCUACAGUUAACUAGCAAAGGCAGAAGGGAGGAAGGAGGGCAGGAUGCUGAGGUCUCUGCAGGUGACAUUCAGUAUUCCCCAGACUGAAAUCAAUGCACUCCUCCCUCCCCUGCAGCAUCCUGUGUCAGCUCACAGCCACCACCUGUGGAGCUUUGGUGUUUUUCAACCUGCUGCUUUGCUGACUAACACCUCCGCUUUCUGCCUGGCUCAUUCAUAUUUUAGCUUGUUUCCUGAGCUUUGAGGUGGUUUCGUCUAAUUGCUUUCCCUUCCAGCAGAACACCGUUACUCAUGUCUCAGCUGUUCUCCUGCCAUUUUUCACUUAUUGUAAUGUAUGAUUAUCUUCCUCCUAAAUGUCACCAGCCACUAAUGGUGCCUUUGACUCUAAAGUUAUGCCAGGUCUGUAUCUUUGACGCUGCUGGGGAUAUUGGUUUAAUUCUGUUAUGACAGGAAGAAAGUACAGAGGUAGUACUGUUUCUGUGGAGUUUUUUCUGUUUUUUGUCAAAUCAUGAACCUGAUAACUCCAAGCAUGACUGGUUUUAUAUCCUAGAGAAAGAAUUGUCAGCUCUGAAUGUUGUUUCUUUUGAUGAUUUAUCUUGCUGAUAAAUACGUAAUGAUGUUGCCCUUCUUCCAGUAAUGGCAAAAUGGUUUUGGGUCAUGAAUAACAGAAUCUACCAAGCUUUCCCUUGUGUGCCCUUCAUGCAUGCUUCUUGGUGAAUAUUACUGCCGCAGGCUAGGCUGAAAUUACACUUUUUAUAAGUAAAUUUGAGGAAAACAGGCCUUUUGGUGCAAUGUGUUUAAAUUUAUAAAGCCAUUGGUUUUACAGUGCUGCCAGUGAUGCUGUUUUUAAAAUUAGCUCUGUAAUAUCAAAUGCAUAUUAUUGCAUGGUUUAAAAGUAGUGUGGCUUGUGACUGCCAGACUAUCACUCUUUGGACUGAUCACACAUGCUGCUCUUUCUCUCCCUCCUCUGCACAAAUAACAAUAUCGGCACACCUUGGAGAGUCCUGUGUAAUCAGGGGGCAGAAGCUACACCACUGUCCUGGUGUGCUAUCCUCACAACAGGAAGAUAUUACUAAGAGCCUGGGAAAUUUCUGACUUAGCCACUCAGCCUCAUUAACCCUGUACUGUCCCACACUGCACCCAAGAGAGGUGGCAAUCUCCACAACCCACAGGCACCAUCAGCUGAGACAAGUAUUUUCUAGAAGCUUGGGCCUGGCAAGUGCCUGUAAGUGAUCCACAAAGCAUGCAGAAGGGAGAGCUAGUCUUUCACAGAGGCUGCUCCAAACAAUGAGGAGUAGCUUCUGGAUUAAGUCAUGUGACCUUCCCCAUGCAUGUUCCAAUAAUGUACAACGAGCUCAGUUACCAGCAACUACCUGGCAAAGCAUGGUCAAGAGCUGCCUGCCCUGGCCUGAACAUUCCAAAACAACUGUUUUUCAAAGGGUGAGUCAGAGGUAUGGAGGGCUUAUCAUGGAGCUCCCUCAUCCUGCACCCUGCUGCUUUGUGCCAACUUCACUGCUGCAGUCUUCUUGGGUUAUUACAGCUCCUCGUUCUCGCUCCUACCUCCACACUGUGUUGUGUGUGCCAAAUCCCUCCACAGUGCUGCUCGUUUCCCUCUUGUCCAAGGAUACAGUGAGUGUGCAUGCGUUCCUUGAAGCCCCUUUAAAGAUAUGAUUAAGUGAGCUCAUGGACCCUCCCUCAGUGUCAACCUUGCAAUCUAAAGAGACCUGGCCCAGACACAAGUCACAGGCAUGAGAUACAACAGGGGUGAGCCCCUCACCUGUGUAGGAGCCAGAUGACCUCCCUGCCUGUGGUCUAAGGACUGGUGCUGUUGCCCUGAUCCUGGGCCAUUUUGGGAACGGAUGGAAGCUGAACACAGUGAUGUUUGACUGUCUCCAAUGUGGCACAUGCUGUACUAUGCCCUUUAACACCUUGACACUGAUGCCUCCUCACUGCACAAAUCUAAGCCCCGCUAUGACCUUUUAGAUAUGAGGUUUGUGAGUUUUUAUCAGUUCUCCCACCCUUUUCUCACGUAAGAAAGCAGAGCAGUACAGUAAUAAAUGUUGUGUGGGUGUUUGGACCUGAAUUCAUCACCUCCUCUCACCACAUCCUUCUGUUGGCACAGUAAUACUGAUACAGUGGUGACGUCAAUCUCCACUUAUUGCUGUGUAUUCCAACACACCACGGCCCUUGGUUGUGCACAAGUAGGCUUUGCUCUUACUCAGUGCUGAGGAGACCCACCUGCUCCUCAGCUCCCCAGGUGGGGUCUGCAAUUGCAGUAAUGAUAUAGCCAAGCUGGUCACGGAAGUGUUGGAGGGCUGAAAUGCACAGAACAGGGCAGGUAAUAUCCAUGUUUCCACCAAUUCUCCCUGCUGCCAGUUUGUUCCUGCUUGAUGUUGUAACUUCACUGUAAAUCUUUCUUAUAGCUGAUGUGGCCCUUGUGCCCCAGCUGUCAUUGCUCAGCCUCUGGACAGUCAGAGCACCCCUUUUUCUCCCUGUUGCUUCAGCUUUCUGAUUAGAUGGCAGUGUGCAUUGAUAAUGAUUUUUUUUUCAAGAAGAAAACUUAUUUGGGCAUAUAACUGGUGGACUGUGUCUUCCACUCUUUUUUUGCUUGGGUGCAAAAAAUUCAUUUUCUCAUGCUUGGAAACAUUUUUUUCCUUUCUUAUUUUUACUUAAACUGAGUUCUUAAUUAGUUUUGAUUUGGGGUUUGGUGGGGUUUGUUUUGUUUUUUUUUGGGGUUUUUUUUUGGUUUUGGGGGAUUUUUUUCUGGUGGAGGUUUUUUGUUUGUUUCUCUUUUUUUGUUUGUUUUUUUCCCUUCGUGUGUGUGUGUGUGUGUGUGUGUGUGUUUUGUUGUUGUUUUGGGGUUUGUUUUGUUUUGUUUUUUAAGUACAUACAUUUCCUGAAAACAGUUCAAACUGUCAGCUUAGACUGCAUCAAUGUUUGGCAGCUUAUAGCAUCAUAUUUCCAGAUCCUUAACAAAAAUAAUCUUCAUAAAUGUCUGUCUGUAUUGGUCCUAUUUCCUAUUCUCUGGUAUAUUAAACACUUGUACCAUCAUUUACAUGUGUAUAUUAUGAAUAGCUACUCAGCUUUAUUGCUGUGAUCUCAUAAGGAUAUUACAGAGUUUGCAGAUGUAGUACUUGGCAGCUGUAAAAUGCUUGACAUUUUAUAACAAGUGUCUGUGUUGCAAGGAUGCAUGAAGCUGAUUCUGAGUCCCCAUUUCACAGACCAAGAAAAUGAAAUGAGGUGAUAGAAAGGACUUUUCUAAUGCCAGACUGGGAAUAAGUUCCUGCCUCUGCUCAUUGCCUGCUGCCAUUCUUUCCUCCAGGUUAACAAUCACAUGCUGACAGCGAGAAGCAAAUAGGAAGGGUGUAACAAAUGGAGAGAUGUAGGAAAGGUGAGGGUCCCAAUAAUAGACUGUGAUUGAAGCUUGCAGGGGGCCUGACUGGAGCAUGCUUCAGAAUUAGGGCUGCUAUACAUCUCCAUUGAAGUCAUGAGGUCUUUGGCAUCAAACACCCCAAAGACGCUGCUGCAGAGCUGCAGCUUUCCCAGCUCUUCUGCCCAUCUGGCUUGUCUGUCCGUGUCUUGUCAUAACAAUCUGGAGCACAGCCAGGAGGUCAGACAGUUUCAGCAGUACUGAAACUGUCUGUGGUGCUCUUAGAGGUCACAGUCCUUUCCUACCACACUGAGGUAGGGAAAUAGAAGGAGAUAAAUGUUGGACUAAUCUGUGAGCAUUGGCAAGGGUAAGAGAUGGGACAGUGGCAUCCCAACUGAGGAAGUAUUGUCUCUUUGUUUCAGCUAUUUUAGCAGAUCCUACUGGUUUUCUUAUUUUUGCUACUGUGCUCUUCUUCAUGAAUCUUCCUUCUAGAUUACGAGGCUGUAUGCUAACCUCUCCCCACUGUGUAAUGGCAGUCUCUGGUAACUCUGUAAGACAUCUACCCAAUGAGCUACUUGGGCUCCUUGCUUUAACUUUUUCCAGUUCAGUCCUGCCUGUCCCUUCAGGUGGAUGAUACCAUUCUCUGAGCAGAGAAAGAAAAGUAGGGGAAAGAAACCACAGUCCAACAGGUAACAGCAGCAGACUUUCCUUGCAUUGGUCUGCUCAUUUAGGCAGGAAUAAGCCCAAAAGCAGGGAGCUACUGCAAUAUCAUGAAUAUGAAGCAUCAGAGGCCCUGCUAGUUGGAUUCUGAAAUAAGUGGUGGGUCUGCAGACCUCUCUGAGGGCCCAGCCUUUCCCUUCCCCUUUCCCUUUCUUUUAUCUUUCCUUUUUCUUUCACAAGUUGCAUUUCUUUGUUUUCCAUGGUGGCCAAGAGUGUGGAGCAUGACAGUCACAACACUAAGUGAUGCUGAGAUGGGUUCAUGGUGCAGCCAGUCUCAGCAUGAAGUCAGCUGAGCAGGUUUCAAAUAGCAGGAUAACAGCAAGCCUUUCUCGAAGGAAUGAAGAUUUGGAGAAGAGCCAUGGAAGAUGGGUGAGAUCCCAAGGUGGACUUAGGCAGUGGACUGUAUCUCAGUGACUAGGGACUGCACCACCAGAAGUAGUGGUAAUGAUGAGAGUUAUUACAUGGAGAAAACUUGGAGAGCUUCAACCAGAGUGGCCAAGAAAAGGUGUUUACUCAAGGCAAUGUGUGAUGCAGAAAGAUGGGCUGGAGUACGAAGGUAGAGAGUUUGCCCUGCCACUGGCAACAGGUGAGGGAGGAUGGCAGCAUGCCUGGGGCUCCUUGCUGAGCUGGAACAGUGAUUCAUGGGCAGGGUUUGUUUAGCAGGAAACAAGGGGCAGCAGCUGCAUCAUUGCUCCCACAGCAGGGUGUGACACCUGUGUCUGUGGCACCUCCAGAAUGAGUCUUGCUAGUCUCACCUGGGCACUGACACCCUGAGAGCACAUCUGUGAGCUCACAUGAGGCUGCAGGGACUUUCUGGUGGCUGCUAAAUUUGUUUUGCUUUCAUUAUUUGAGUAAACCUGGGAAAUUUUUUAACUCCACAAAUGUUCCCCAAGUCUUGAAUGCUUCAUGGGUUUCUCUCUGCUGGGUGAUUGCCUGGGUGUUUGUUGCUUGUGGUGGAUGCUGCAUAGGCACCCCAGGACCUGGAUACCUUGACCCCACCGUAUGAACACAGGCUGAGGGACAAGCAGAUUGAGACCAGCUCUGCUGACAAGGACCUGGGGGCAGUGGUGGAAUAAAAGCUGGCCAUAAGCAGGCCAUAUGUGCUGGUAGCCCAGAAGCUCCUGGGGUUCUUCCCCAGCAGUGUGGGCAGCUGAUAGAGGGAGUGGAUUCUUCCCCUCUACUCUGCUCUCUUGAGACCCUACCUGGUGUUCUGCCUUCAGGUCUGGGACCCCCCAGUGUGACAAGCAUGGGGAACUGCUGUAGUGAGUCCAGAAGAGGCCACAGAAAUGCUUCAAGGGCUGAAGCACCUCUCACCUACAGGCUGAGAGAGUUGGGCUUGUUCAGCCUGGAGAAGAGCAGGCUUUGAGGAGACCUUACUGCAACCUUUCAUUAUUUAAAGGGAGCCAGUAAGAAAGAUAAGGACAGACUUUUUAGCAGAGUCUGUUGCAACAGGACAAGGGGUGAUGGGUUUUUAAAUUAAAAGGGUAGAUCAGACUAUGUGGCAUAGCAUAUGGGCCCUUCCUGCUGUCUGUGCAUCCUUGCAGCUUGCUUUCAAUGAAAUUAUGUUGCCAGAAUAAUACACAUUGCUUCUCCAAAGUUUUGUCCCAUUUAAGAAUAGUUUGAGAAAACAGUGCUGAAGUCUGUACCAGGUAUCAACAGCCAAUGCUCUGCAGAGAGCAUAUUUUAAGUCUUUCUGUGCACAUCCAUGUGUUUCUAUAAAUAUUUAAAUGCUGUGAAAACACAGUCUUAAAUGCAUUAUAUGACUUGAGGGCUUUGUCUUGGAGCAGGGGCUGUGGGCUGAACAUUGUCAUGAGUCAUUUGUAUGUGAUGCCAUUUCCUCUGUUUUAAACAUCCUGCUGUCAUCUUCUCUGAAGACUUCCUUGUAGGUUCUCUUCACUGUACCAUCAGGGCAGCCUUUCCCUGCUGUCAGUACUGUACAUUGUUUUCUUGGAUGCUACAUGGGAGGCUGUUUUGUUGUUUUUUUUUCUUUUUUUCCUCUGGUCUGUCUUUCUGGAGUCCCUUAACUAGAUAUUUCAUGCUUAUUUAAUUACAGGUAGGCCAAAUCAAUGAGUUCUCACUAGCUUUCCUCAAUGCUAGUGACCCUCACACGGACCCACAAUGAUAUUCAGACUCCAUUUGCCUGAUUCACUGUGUAGCUAUUUAAUCUGCAGCAAUGUCACUUCUUGUGACAAGCCAUUCCCAGUUCCAAGAUACUAAUGAAGAAAAAGUGGGUUAGCAAUUAACCCAAGAGUCUUUCUUGUUGCCUGGAUAGCCCAACCUGCAGUCUCUUUGCUGCUUUCUCUGUGCAUGUGCUAGCAAGGAGCAAAGAUUUCACUGACCUUGCUUAUGGCAAGUUGGUAGGCUGUUGGUCAUACCUCCCUUAGCCCAUAUAAUAGAUACACACAGGAGAGCUGAAAUUAAUUGUCUAAACAAGGCACUCUACUUUUAGAUGUUUAAAUGAAAGCAAGAUUAAUUCCACCUCAACCUUAAUCAAGUAAAUGUCUGAGCAGAGCUCUAAAUUGGUUGUGGGAGUCUUGUUUGUGGCUGUUUUGUUUUGUUUUGUUUUGUUUUUUUCUUCCCCAGGACAUCCAGUGAGAACUACCAUGAAGAACAAACCGUGGCUCCAGAAUAUUUUCAUCUGCCUUUUAUUCCAGUACACUAUGUGUUGUGAAAGCCUCACUUGUUUUGUGGACUAUGUACAGACCCUGUCCUGUAUCCUGCGAGAUGAGUUGGGUGCUGGUUCAUACAAUCUCACUGCUACAUGGGUUCCUGAGGAAGAUCCAGAAAAUACUGUGGCUGCCUGCAGUCUCGUGCAAUUGUCAAGAAACACCAGUCACACACAGUACAUGUGCACUGUGGACAUGACUGAACUCCUGGCAGAUACCAAAGUCCAGGUGGAUGUUACAGAGAUAGCUGAUAGGCAGCACGUGCUUUCCAAAGACUUUUAUUUGUCAGACAACAUAAAACCACAGCCUCCCUUCAACCUGACCGCUUUGUUCUCAGAGGGUUACAACAUUUCUUGGGAAACCAUCUACCAGAACUCUUCCUUCUACUUUUUGAAUGAGGAGCUGGAAUAUCAGCUGCGUUACAAAAGAAGAACUGACACCUGGGAGACUCAGAAGACUAAAGCUGUUCAUGAAGACAAACGGACAUUGGUGAUCCUGCCAUGGGAACUACAGGCGAACACUGAGUACGAGUUCCAAGUGAGAGCUAGACCCCGGGAAGACAGUGGCUAUGGUGGUUUUUGGAGUGAAUGGAGUUCUCCGCUGUCAUUGAAAACCAGCCCUGCCGCAGUGACACAGACAGCAGGCAUGGAAUGGCUGCUGCUGUUUGGUAUUGUCGUGGCAAUCAUGGCCUCAGUCACAACAUUUCUGGCCAAACAGCAGAGCUUGUGGAAGAAGAUGGCUUGCAUCCCAGACCCUGCUCCCUUUUUCAAACCUCUUUACAUGGCUCAUAAUGGAGAUUUUAAGAAGUGGGUUGGUGCAUCCCAUAUGAAAAUGACCUUUGAUUUCUUUGAAUGGGGAAUAGUCCUUCCAGAAGUCCUAGAAGUUUACACCGUGCAUCCUUCCAACAGCAUCCCACAGGAAGAGCUGCAUGAGCUAAGAAAGAAUCUGCCUUGCAAGCCCUGUGUGUCUUGCCUGACUACCCCAGGUCAUGGUAGCCAGUCGCUGUGGUGUAGUGUAAACAGUAGUGGUGGGACUGAGGACCAGUCAUAUGGGCACUUGUCAAUUGAUACAGUGACUGUGGCUGAUGAAUUUACAUCUUGUAACUGCCAGUGCAGCUGCAACCGUGUGUACAGGGAACAUGACCAUACCAACAAGGAAGAUGAUAGUGCUGGAGAACCCGGUUACCCCAAGGUUAACCUUGAUGAGGAGGACAGAAAGAUAUCCAGUGACUUGCAUUUAGCUGAUCUGAGUACACAGGACAAAAUACUUGCUUCAGGUUCUGUGUCCACAGACCACCUGAGGAGCACAAGUGUCCCAGUCAACCAGCAAGGAGAAAGGGGAGUGGAAGGAGGGGUGGGGAGCAUACUAGAAGCCCUUUGCUUGCAGCCUUAUCAGUGGGAUUUGGAAAAUCCAGGUUCUCUGCCUUCUCCUGAUGGUGAAAGUGUUUCCUACAGUGAAGGCUCCUAUGACUUCUUCCCUCACAAUACAAAGCCUGGUGACAGUUAUCCUUUGAUCUGUGUAGAUUUGGACACUAUUGACAGUGGCUUUGUGGACUCAGACUGCGGAAGUCCAGUUGACUCUGAGUUUGGGCAAACCAGUCAGACCAUUUGUGGCCCCAUCUCUCUUGAGCAGGAGGGGCAAGACUUUACACGGAGCUACGUCAAGCAGUGGGUCUCCUGUCGCUCUGAGAGCCCUACCAGUGGGACACAGACAAACUAAGGACUGGAUGAGUGUGGGGCCUUUUUCAUAGUGUGCCAGGAGCAAACUGCUAGCAAGAUUCAGAAGAGAAACAAAGUUUACUUUGUGUGAGCUCUAUUGCAUAAACUGACACCUGUUAGGUCCACAGAAAUAUGCCUGUUUCUAUUCCCACUUAUCCUAUUACUGUCUCAAAUUUGUUGUGAUUGAUUGUUCCUGAGUUUUGUUGGGUUUUGGUUUUUUUUAGAAUCAUAGAUCAAACCUCCCUUGAUGUCAAAAAAAAUGUCAGAAAAAAACAACUGUACCUUGAAAACAAUCCUUUGGCUUAUAUAGAUAUGCAAAUUUUUUUCAGUAACCUUAUAAAGAGUACAGAACUUUAAAGUUAUUUCCCUGGUAUUCUCACAUGACUUAAGGGUUUGGCUGCACAUGGAACCUUAGAAUCAUAACCCAUGGCAAGCAUGUUUGCUACAUUAAAGUUCCCCUACCUUUCCAAACAACAUGUGAUGUUACUUUUCCUUCUACUAUCUUUGGCUCUUUAAACUCAGCUGUAGUAGUCUGUUAAUUACAAGAGGGCUCCAGACCGGUCCACGGGAAUCAAAACUAAUUCUUAUGAAAUCAUUGCAGAAAUGCGUGUACUAGAGACUAAGCACAACUCAGGUUUCAGAAAGAUUUUCCAGGUGGAGUCUGCAAAUGAAAAGACUUCAAAAUAUAUCUAAUUCUAAACAAACUCUUGCUACUAGGCUUUUCUAUUGAGUCAGAUGCUCUCCCUGCACUUUUCAAGUAUUUUAAUUGAGCAGCUUUUAGAAUUUUGCCAAAAUUAUUGAAACAUUGUCCUACCUGGAUAUGCCUGCCACUUCUGCCUUGGAAUUGUUCUGCUGCAGUUCACAGGUCAGUAGCACAAAUUUUGAGCAAUUUCUGCUAGCUAAUAAAGCCAAAUAUGAAAGUGCGCUGUAACCUUGAAUCCGUUUUUCUCUCUGACAUCUCCAAAUCUCUGAUUUGUUCAGGAUAAAUGUCUUAAAAAGUCACUGAAAAGUAAUACUGAAAUUGAAUGUGAAGACCUUCAUCUUAAAUAGACAUAGUGCUACUAACCCAUGGACUGCUUGGCUCCAGAAGGUCAUAUCUUGAGAGAACCCUUGUGGUGAAUGAUGCAUGUUCCAGUGUAGUAAUAAUCUAUUGUUGCUGUGACUCCAAUAAACUCCCUUCCCUCACCCCCUUCUCUUACCUGAGACUAUAGGCAACCCCACAGCUCCCUAAAUAGGAGAGAGCACUGUAGUAAAGAGAAGCUGAUUUCUUCAUAGGUGAGUGCUGGGACAGUACUGCAUUGCAUCCACAUCCUCUGGUUUGAUUGUUCAGAUCUGCCAUGGUAUUUGCUAUGUUGAUUUUGGAUCUACAUGACUUAGUUUUGUCCAUGUUGUUAUUACUCCCCCAGUACAUCCCUAGCUCAAUGGCUUCCUGGGUACUGCUCUAAGAUAUAUUAGCUUCUUUGGUUUCUUCCCUCCUUAUUUUCCAUUUUUCUUGUCAUGUGCUGUGAUAAGUCAUGGGAGGUGUUGUCUUUGUGUGCUGAUGCAUGCUCCCUGCUGCUACUGGUCCCUGACAUGCCCUCCAUAAGGCAGCAGAGAAUUGCCCCAGCUCCACUGCCCUGAAAAGCUGACUGCCCCACACUGUCCUAUGAAGGCUGCUUGCAUUGUGAACAUGUUGAUGCAAAUGUGUACUGGGCAGAAGCAUUUCUGAUGGUCUCAGCACAGAUUUCUGCAGCUUCAUCUCACAGCUAUUUUCACUUCAGAAACUACACUGUGAUAACUGACCCCAGUCUGCUUAAGGGAGAAACUUGCUUGUUUUUCUGGGGCCCUUUUUAUCUCUGCCCUGUGUGCUCUGUUUCCGUUUGUAUUGAUGGCCCCAGAACUGCUGAAGGAACUGUUUCUGUUAUUGGAACACUCUCUGGCUGUACAUCUGAUAGAUGGUGGUGGUUUGGUGUUAUGUUGGGCUGGAACUUAUCUCUGCUCACCCUAGGAGGCAGACUUCAUGAACAAGUGUGUGACACAAGGGUAUUAAAAUAAGGGAAGUUGUUCCCUUUGAAGCAAUGUGCAACAAUUGAGCUUUUGGUCAGUGAGUUGUCACUGUGGAUGUGGAGGGGUUUGAGGUGGGGGGUUUUCAGUGCCUCUUAGGAGAAAACUGCAAAUGUCCCUGAUCUAGCAGUUCUGAUUUGGAAUUUUUUUUUCCCCAGGAACAAUAGGGUCAAAAAACAGGUGGGAGAAGCACCGCAAUCCAUUCUGACGUACCAGUUUGUAAAUGUCCAUCUCUAUUUCUGCAUGCCCCCUGCCUCCCUGUUUCUUGGGCCCAGAAGCUGAUACUGACAGACUGUUACUCAGUCUGUUCUUUGACUGCUUCUCUCUCUCUGUACUCUCACUAGACCCAUGUACAGGACUGACUUGAUGGAUCCUGGCUGUAACACUGCCAUUGCAUCAUUGCUGCUGGGCAUGGGAAGAUCCGUUCCUUAUACACCCUAGGAUCAGGACAAGGAAGCACUGCAAUGGUUGUUUGCCUUUGCUUCCAGAGCUGCCCUUUGAGCACAGGGCAGCAAUCAGCUGUGGAAGUACAGGGCAGGGCAGCUCAGGGGUGCUGCAGGGGUCUGAGCACAGUUGGGCACAGGUCCUGGGGGGAAGCAGUUUAGCCCCACAUCCACACAGGGCUAGGAAAUGGCUUUAGGUCACUUAGAAAGUUAUUUUGUUGACCUAUUUAUAUAAAAGUUGCAAGCAGAUACUUUUCUAUUCAGCAAAUUACUUGGCCUUUUAAAUGUUAACCCUUUAGCAGAAAUCCCUGUUUCUCCGUGACUAAUAAGAAAUUACAUAUAUAGAUACUUUAACUCAAUCUGAUAAUCAGAGCAGUUUUUCAUUGGUUCUUGAGAUUAUCUUUAAAAUCAGGCACAGUAAGCUCUGUUUUAUUAUGCCACUGCUGCUACUGCCUGAUCAUCAAACCACACAGCUUAAACUAUCAAGGGACAGAAGCAGGGUGAAAAGUGGCAUUUCUUUUUUGCUGGAGCCUGAAGACCAGAAGUGUCUUUGUAUUUUUGUUCUGAUAGUUUGCUGAGCACAAAACACCGCUACUGCAAUAAUUCUGAUGGAUUGUGCUUGAAAGAAGGGCCAUCUUGAACAAGGUACUCCUCUCUGGCUGCAAGAGAUGAAUGUAAAGGAAUCCAGCCAAAAUAGUCCUCAGUGUUUGGGACUUUGCAGACAUGAACAUACAUUUAAAUGUAUGUGUAU